AGAUCCAAAGUUCAAGCAUGGUAGCUUGUUAGCCUGCCUGUUGUUGUGAAGAUUUAUACAUAGUUUCUUCAGAUCUUUCAUCAAGCAAAAGGACCUGCAUGCUCUGAGUUCCAGUGCAAUAUCGCCGCCUACGUUUUGUGAUUUGUCUCUCCUGUGAAGAUGAUUGCAACCUCUGUAUGUGGAACUCCUUUGCUGUGCACAGCAGACGGUUUGAAAAGGAACGCCAGGUGGAAACAUUCUACCAACCAAAAAAGAAAUCCACUAAUAAUUUCUCAAAAUGAACUUUAGUCACAUGGAUAAAAAUACAUAAAAGUGCUCAGUCUUUACAGUACCUUAGGGCAGACAAUAA